rnacentral:rRNA from 1 species
AAUAUUGGACAAUGGGGGCAACCCUGAUCCAGCGAUGCCGCGUGUGUGAAGAGGGUCUCCUCAGUGUAAAGCACUCUAUCAGGGGAGGAAGAGCUUGAGGUGAAUACCGUGGAGGUUUGACGUUACCAAUAGAAUAAGCCCCGCCUAACUAUGUGCCAGCAGCCGCGGUAAUACGGAGGUUGCAAGCGUUAAUCGGAAUUACUGGGCGUAAAGCGCGUGUAGGUGGGUCAGUAAGAUGGGUGUGAAAACCAAAGGCUUAACCUGUGAACUGCGUUCAUAACUGUAGAGCUAGAGUACGGUAGAGGUUAGUGGAAUUCCUUGUGUAGCAGUGAAAUGCGUAGAUAUAGGAAGGAACACCAGUGGCGAAGGCGACUAACUGGACUGCUACUGACACUGAGGUGCGAAAGCGUGGGGAGCAAAC